CCCUGGGUGGCAUAAAUGGAUAAGCAUGUGACUACUAACCACAAGGUUGGUGGUUCAAACCCACCCAGAGGCA
rnacentral:tRNA from 1 species